rnacentral:rRNA from 1 species
AUUGAACGCUGGCGGCAUGCCUUACACAUGCAAGUCGAGCGGCAGCGCGGGGGCAACCCUGGCGGCGAGCGGCGGACGGGUGAGUAAUACAUCGGAACGUGUCCUUUCGUGGGGGAUAACCAGUCGAAAGACUGGCUAAUACCGCAUGAGAUCUCACGAUGAAAGCGGGGGACCGCAAGGCCUCGCGCGAUUGGAGCGGCCGAUGUCGGAUUAGCUAGUUGGCGGGGUAAAGGCCCACCAAGGCGACGAUCCGUAGCUGGUUUGAGAGAACGACCAGCCACACUGGGACUGAGACACGGCCCAGACUCCUACGGGAGGCAGCAGUGGGGAAUUUUGGACAAUGGGCGCAAGCCUGAUCCAGCCAUGCCGCGUGUGUGAAGAAGGCCUUCGGGUUGUAAAGCACUUUCGGCCGGAACGAAAUCGCGCAAGGGGAGUGACGGUACCUCCAAAGGAAGCGCCGGCUAACUCCGUGCCAGCAGCCGCGGUAACAC